rnacentral:rRNA from 1 species
ACGCGAAAGCGGCCUUCGGGCCGCGAGUAGAGUGGCAAACGGGUGAGUAACGCGUGGGUGACCUACCUUCGAGUGGGGGAUAACCUUCCGAAAGGAAGGCUAAUACCGCAUGACGUCCCGCCCUUGGACGGGCGGUGACCAAAGCCGGGGAUCUUCGGACCCGGUGCUUGUUGACGGACCCGCGUCCGAUUAGCUUGUUGGUAGGGUAGCGGCCUACCAAGGCUGCGAUCGGUAGCCGGCCUGAGAGGGCGGACGGCCACACUGGGACUGAGAUACGGCCCAGACUUCUACGGGAGGCAGCAGUAGGGAAUUGUUCGCAAUGGGCGAAAGCCUGACGACGCAACGCCGCGUGGAGGACGAAAACCUUCGGGUCGUAAACUCCUGUCGAGCGGGAAGAACCGUCCGCGGGUCAAUACCCCGCGGGCCUGACGGUACCGCUAAAGGAAGCCCCGGCUAACUCCGUGCCAGCAGCCGCGGUAAUACGGGGGGGGCAAGCGUUGUUCGGAUUUACUGGGCGUAAAGGGCUCGUAGGCUGCCGUUCAAGUCGGUUGUGAAAUCCCCAGGCUC